ensembl:lncRNA
GAGCCUAAAUCCCCGGAGAGCGGUGUCCAGAGGUGCUGGGGUGUGCGGUGUCCCCUUCCCUGCCACACCUCGCUGCUGGGACCCCGGUGCUGUUCCUCAGGAGGCACUUGGCUUUGCUGGUGGCAGGGCUUGCAGGGGGAAUCUGCUGCUAGCCUCUCCUGGCUCUUUUCUGGUUUUUGCUCAGGGGAUGGCUGUUCAUCCUGGGUGCAGUUUGGAGCUGCCCAAUAAUGGCAGCAUCACUCUGUUCCCAAGGCCGCCUUCCCGAUGGGCUGGCUUGAGGCGUGGGUGGCUUUGUGGUGCAGCACGUGUCCGUGCCCUGCCCGGUGCCCUGGCACUGCUGGGGCGGUGUCGAUGGCCCCUCGGGCUCUGGGCACUGCCAGGACUCCUGGUGGACAUCAGUUCCUGCAGCCAGCAGGGCUCACCCGCCUCUGGAUGGACGUGGCUUGGAUGCCAAGAGGAAAACCAGCCCUGUCCCAGUGUAGAGCAGAGAGUGCUGAAAGCUCAGAGCUGUUCAGAGCUGGGCUGGCAGUGGAGCCAAGAAGAAGGCAGAGGAUGGAAUGCACAAUGGCUGACCCACACCUGGUGAGGCAGGAGCAGCAGAGGCUGCAGAGGCAGCUGGCAGCGGUGGCGGCGCGGCAGCAGCUGGCCCUGAGCCGGAACCGGGCGCUGCGCCGCCAGUUCCUGCGGCUGGAGGCUGACAUGGAAACCACGGGCUGGCGCAGCAUCCGCGAGAUGGAAUGGUACGGAAGGGAAAUCCGAAGGCUGUUAUCCCUCCGAGAGGGCAGCUCGUCAGCAGGAGGUGAUGAGGAGGAAGGGGCCAGCGAGCAGGUGCUGCAGGCUGGAGGACAGGCAGGAACUGGCACCAGUACAGCCGUGCCAGGAGAACUGGGCCAUGCAGCAGCAGAACUGGGCCGUCCAGCAGCAGAACUGGGCCGUCCAGCAGCAGAACUGGGCCAUGCAGCAGCAGAACUGGGCUGUCCAGGAACAGCUGCCUCAGCCACAGGAGGUUUGGGCUCGCAGCAGGAGCCCCUUCUGCGCUCCCCGUCCCCAGAGUUGCUCAGUCCCGACACCGGGAGCACUGCUGGAGAGAGUGAGGAGGAGCAUGGGGACCUGGCCACCAGUGAGGAAGGCUCUGAGCAGCUCACCUCAGCUUCCUCAGGUGCCAAAGCAGCCCCCCUGAGGCCGGGCCAGCGGCAGGGAAGCGUUCCAGGGGUAGAGCCCAGCCUGAGCAGCUGGUGGGCUCACAGGGAGGGGAGCAGAGCCGAGCUCCCACUCCCAGCCGCUGCUGAGCAGGAGACCAGGCCGAGCAUCCCCGGCACACGGCAGGAGCAGGGCAGGGAUGCCCGGGCUCCAGAGGGCUCCCUGCUGCCCCCAGCCAGCCCUCCCACGGCCCAGGAGGAGCCCUUGGACAGCUCAGCACCACACAGUCUCUCUGCGUGGUCAAACUUCCAGGGGUUGUUGAACUGUCUGAGGAUUUUGUUCGGAAACAGAGUAAGAGAGGACGAGGAGAGUGCGCUGCAGACACGGGGGCUGUCCUCUGCUGCCGUGUGUCAGCAGCAGGAUUCUGUGGCCAGCAGGGUAGAGCAGGCUGUAAAUCCAUCCCGGCAGGAUUUUCAGCCCCGCAACGCCCUCAUGAGACGGGGAAGUGCAUCCGUGUGCCGGCAGGGAGAUGGUCCCCGGAGGUCUCCGGGAGGGCUGCAGGGGGACAUGGCGCGAAGGGAACAGCGCUCCUGCCCCUGGAGAAGAAGCGCUCCUGCAGGAGCAGCCUCUGCUGCCACAGGAGUUCUCUCCUGCCAGGGGCUGGGCUGUGUGCAGUGUUCCAGCCUGCUGCUGCUGUCCAUUCCCGGCCUGGAGCGCGGCUUUGGCUGCUGACACCUGCCCAGAAACGGGGGGCCACCGCAGGCACCCCUCUAACUUUAUCCUCUGCCAUUUGCAUGGGGCUGUCGCUCGCUAUGGAAACAUCAUCUGAUUUACAUGUAAAUAGCUUUCCCCGC